GUGGCGUUGGUUUGUGAGUGACGCGGGAGUGCCGGCGGGUUUGCGAGCAUUCCGGGUAGUGCUAUUUGGCCCAAACCUCACUCCUCCCUUCUUCGCAUCGUUAAUGUAAGUACCAUGUCACAGCUCAUCGCGGGACUGCGUGGGACAGCGCGGGAGCUUCUCUUCGGUGUCAAGGAAAGUGAAGACUUUUUCCUAGGCGUUAGGUUGAUAGGUUGCUAGGCUCCUAACCCUUCUUUCCUUACAGGUACACCUUAAUUGCUUUUGAGUACUUACAGAUAUGUCAGUCGAAGUUGCCGCAGAGCGGGUGCAAUGAGAGUUGUAUGGCAGUAAGCCAAGGAAAGGAGUGCUGCGGAGUCAUUCAUAUAGAGAAUGUGCGAGUGAUGCAUUGAAUCUGAAUAGAGGUGGCGCGUGUCAC